ensembl:lncRNA
UGAGGUAUUAUAUGCACUUAACAUGUUGUUCGUUAGAUAAAGGGAGGGAACGGUACCAUAGGGAAGGGAAGGGAAGUGCAAGAAAUGGCAAGGUAGGGAAGGGUAGGGUAUUGUAGAAUAGGGAAGGGAAUGGAAGGGUAGGGUAAGGUGAAGUAAGGUAGGGUAAGGUAAAUGAGGGUAGGGUAAAAAAGGUAAAGUAAGGUAGGGUAAAGUAAAGUAAGAUAAAGUAAGGUAAGAUAAAGUAAGGGAGAGUAAAGGAUUGUAAAGUAAGGCAGGGUAAAGAAUUGUAAAGUAAGGGAGAGUAAAGGAUUGUAAAGUAAGGGAGAGUAAAGAAUUGUAAAGUAAGGCAGGGUAAAGUAUUGUAAAGUAAGGUAAGAUAAAGUAAGGCAGGGUAAAGGAUUGUAAAGUAAGGCAGGGUAAAGAAUUGUAAAGUAAGGCAGGGUAAAGAAUUGUAAAGUAAGGGAGAGUAAAGAAUUGUAAAGUAAGGUAAGAUAAAGUAAGGGAGAGUAAAGAAUUGUAAAGUAAGGGAGAGUAAAGAAUUGUAAAGUAAGGUAAGAUAAAGUAAGGGAGAGUAAAGAAUUGUAAAGUAAGGUAAGAUAAAGUAAGGGAGAGUAAAGUAAGGCAGGGAAACAGACAGACAGGAUUAGUGAAUCCAUUAAUUGAAUCUUCCUCCAAUUCAUGACAGAUUUUUUUUGUUUAGUCUGUCUGUCUCUCUCUCUCUCUCUCUCUCUCUCUCUCUCUCUCUCUCUCCAAACCACACACUAACAAAACCUCUCAAAAGUCUGUAACCUUGAAAUAUGCACAACACACACACACGCACGCACACACACAAACACACGUGAGAACGGAAGAAGGUAUGUAGUAUUAAAGCGCUCAUUUGUCUUUUUCACACUCAACCGCUCUUGAGCUCAAUUAUACAACCUCGCCUGUGUGUGUGUGUGUGUGUGUGUGUGUGUGUGUGUGUGUGUGUGUGUGUGUGUGUGUGUGUGUGGUGAGAGAGAUGUGGAGUUUGUGUGUGAGCGAGAGGGCUGUUGGUUGAUUAUUAGCUUAACUGUAAUGACAGUGCCGUCACUGAUCAUUACUCAUCCUCCUUUGAACACACUCACACACACACACACACUUUUCUCCUUCUGCUGGACAAGAGACGUACAAAGCACAGAUUCCCUCACACACACAAACCAACUCUCACACACAUCCACGAUACAGCAUCUCAGCAGUGAGCUUUGCAUUGUGGUGUAAACAUCGCUGUGUAUUCUGGAGUAAACAGUCAUACUGAAAGGACAGACUGAUGGACACAUCGCGAUAAAAAAAAAUUUUUUUUAAAAAUUGCAGUUUAAAAACAAAAUAAACACCUCCAUCUACCUCCGCUCGUUUCUGUAGUCACAAAAAUAAUAAUAAAAAUCAAAUAAAAUCACUGCCAUCUCAUCCGUCAAUCAUACACUAAGCACAGCUAAUGCUUUUCCGGCUGUUUCUUUUAAAACAGCAGGCUAAAUUAGGCAACUACGAUAUCACCUGGAGUAAAGCGCUAUCCACCCUCUUCUGCAUACGCGAGUAUAUGGGUGAUCGUUGUUUUUGACCACUCGGGAUUCUACUUAUCCCUUUUAUUUCCCUCCUUCGAAGGUAUUUUCAAAAAUCAAUGAUUGAAAAAGAAGUCUACCUUGUUGGUGUUUAUUCCAUCCGCUAUUAUAUUUCAUGUGCAGCUCUCAAUCAAGAACACUAGGGGGCAUUUCCAUCCAUCCAUUUUCUGUACCAUUUUUCCUACAUAGGAGCGUGGGAAGUCUGGAGCCUAUCCCAGGGAACUCGGGGAACAAGGCGAGGAACAACCUGGACAGCCAGGGGACAAUCGCACACCCGUUCACACACUAUGCAAACUCGGCGCACACAGAACGGAGGCGGAAAUCGGACCCCGAACCUCGGAGGCGCGAGGCGAACGUGCUAACCGCUGAGCCACCGUGCACUAGAGGACGUUUCAUCAAAUGUGAUCGCCUGACACGACGGUCAAUCAUCAGCUGUGUGAAAUCAGUUCGGUCACAACGUUCUUAGAUCUGUAUUGUUUUG